CAGACGAGCACGUUUGAUGUGCCGCUCUCUUCGCGCCGGUUCACCUUCUGUGUGUGUGAGAGAGAGAGAGACACAGACGGAGGAAUCUGGGUUCAUCCAAGUUAUGUGGACAUGACCUGCCGGCUGCGCUCGUAACGUUUGGCAGCACAAACAACCGAUCGCCUCUCACACCGGGACUGUGGGAGAAAGAGGAGCGUGUGAAUUAUUGAAUGAUCCAUACGAUGGAGCGCAGCGCGAGAGAAUCCUCAGAUGUGUGAAGGCGCGGUUUGAGAGUGCAGAGAGGCUGAGGAGGAGUGGGAGUGGCACACACGCAUACAACACACACACACACACAUGCGUGCAACACACUUGUGCGUCUCAGCGUUGGAUGUUGCCAUUCUGUCAGAGGCUGGAUGCACACGAGCAGCUGGGUGUCAGCUCAAAGACGCUCGACUGAUUUGAAUGCGCUUGUGUGUGUUUUUCCUCUUCUUUCUUUUCUGGAUCUGCAUGUUUAAUAAGAGCUCUUGUAGGAAUGGUGUCAGUAGGUCUGUAGCUCAAACAGGCAACAACUUGGUGUGUUUGGAAAGGUGGAAUCGUCAGGAAUGGUUUGAACGGCGGGAUUCAGGAAUGCCUUGCCGACUUCCACUCAAGCCGGUGACCGCGGAUGUGAAGUUACCAAGGAGUCAAGAUGCUGUAGACGCACUUUAGGAACAGCCCCGGCAUGGGGAACAGCAUCCAGAGGAAGAAGAAGAAGAGCGCGCUCACCGAAGAGGGUUCUCCAUCGGUGACCCCGAGUCCCAAGCGGCAAAAAGCUGCAAGCUUUCGUCUGCUGGGACGUGUGGACAGACAGACUCCAGCAGCCGGCCCGAAGGGGAAUGAAGACCAGAAGCGGCUGACGGUUCACUACACGGCCUCCCAGCACUACCAGGAGAAUGUGUUCAUUGAGGGCAGCAGGCCUCAGUACCUGGAAGACUUGCACACUGAAGCUCAGGAGGGCCUCAAGAUACUACAGCAGGAGGAGGACAAGAACGGAGUGAACUUUGCGGACGAUGAAAGCAUCUCUACAGAUACCCUCUGCCCGGAGCUGGACGUCAGCUUCAAGGACAGAGGCGGCUCUCUGGGGUCGAGACCCAACGCUAACAGUGAUGCCACAGCAACUUCUGCUGUGUUGAAUCGGCCUGGGAUUACUCACCAAGGCUCCACAUUCAAGCCUUUGAAUCCUGUGAAAAGACUCGAUCAAAGCAGAAAGAAGAACAGGAGGACCACCAUCAUGGGCAUUCCCAACCAGGUUCAGAAAGAACUCGCUCUGAACAGAAGUUCCACCUUCCAGCCGCUCGUUUCGACUCAGCUCCCUAAUCACAAAAAUCACAAUGGCGACGGCCAGUCAGAUGUUGUCAUCAUUCCUACAGUGGAUGGAGAGACUCCGUUGGCAAAAAACGAGGGAGCGAGGGUACACCUUUCAGAACUGGAGGUCUUUAGGGAUGAGCAGGUGGCGAGGAAGCAUCUUCAGGGAGGGUACCAAGACGAGCAGACCCAUCUCUGUCCGGCAGUCAGACCAAAGUCCCUUGCAUUUCCUGGCAUGACAACUUCCUUCUCACUCUCUCCAUCAAUGUUGCACUUCCUCCAAGAGCCUCAGGGUCCGGUGAUGUCCAUCUCUCCUCAGGCCACUUACUUGUCUACGAUCAUCCCUAAUGCUGUUUUACCGGCUUCAGUUGAAGUAAUUGAGAUUGACCGCAGCAGCAGUCGAACUCGAGGCAGCAGCGUCAAUCACGGCAACGGUGCCUGCGCUGCCAGCAAAAGCAGCCUGACAUCUGAGGAAUCAGCAGUUAGUCCUUUAUUGUCAAGAAGAUCAGACGGUGACGGUUCCCAAACAAAUAGCUCUAACUAUGACUCUGCACUAAUGCCCCGGUCAGCCUCAGGUUCAAACUGGAGUGAGUCUCAAUCUUCUAAGACUAUUAUUUCAGACUCCUCGGUUUCAUCUUCUAAUAGAGGGGGGUUCAAUGUACAAGAAAGUCAGACACAGGAGUCUAGUAACGGCCAAGACCUCACAAGUUUUUGUAGCUCAGUUAAUGCAGUUAGCAGCCUGAACAAGACAGAAGUAAACACAGCAGAAGCAGAGUCUGGGCUUGAAGCGACGCAGUCAUUGACUGUUGGCGAUCAAGCAAAGAACAAACGGAACUGCAUACAUAGUCUGUCGGUCACCAAGACCAAACAGCCUCCAGCACCUCCACGAAGAACAAACUCUCUGCAUGGCAAAAAGGUCAAAAGUGAGACCAUGAUUGUGGUGGAGCUGGAAGAUCCUAGAAACUCAGGAGAAGUAAAAAGUUCAUCUGAAAAUACAGUGGCAGAGGAGGAAGUUAAAUUGGUUGCUACAAAUGCCAAUUUGAGCCCAGAACCUUUGUCAAACUCUACUGGGCCAAGCUCAACAAACUCUUCCUCCACAUUUCUAACCCCUGUGCAGGGCUCCCCUAACCAGGCUGAAGAAGCAACAGCAUCACAGCAAGAACCCGACCCUUCCUCUCCACAGAAAACAGCACCAGAUGGAGGGAAAUUUGAACGGACAAUGUCUCCUUCCAGUGGCUAUUCCAGCCAGAGUGGAACUCCAACACUUUCCCCGAAAGAAAUCUCCCCAAAUUCUCCAGACAAACUGAAAAAGAAGCCCAUCAAACCAGAGAGAUCCGCGUCCCGUGCCUCAUCCUCAGCCGCUUCUCCCUCUUCCUCACUCACCUCCCUGUCAUCAGGUACAUCUGAGGCUGCAAAUGCCGACGUUACCACAUGCAGCGCAACUCUGCCGCCGCAGGAUUCCUCGCCAACAGAUGAAGUCACUCCGAGUAACAAGCUCUCAUCUUUAAGGGCAGACGUACAAGAACUGUUUAACAUCCCUUCUCCUCCUAACGUCAAAGCCCCUCGCCCACCGCCUCCGGAGACAUGGGCCCACAGCAGACGGACUGUUGAGCUCCUCUGUGGAGCUCCUAAUGUCAUCAAAACUCCACUGAAAGGAAAACGAAUGGAAACUCAAAGGGAGCCCAGAGAAGACUGUGAAGUUACAGUCGAAAACCAGACAACUCAGGAGAAUCCUGUUUUGGAAAUGCCUGUGCAUACAGAAAGCCCUGUGAUAAAAGAUCCUGAAGACGGCAAAAGCGAAGUAAAGACUAGAGAACCUUCAGAUAAAGAACAAAUGCAUAAAAAUGAGGAGGACACAGAUUUUAACAGCAGAGUAGAGAGUAAGGGCCACGUUGCAAAGAAGCCAGAAAGUCAAGAGACGACUCCAAAGAAACAGCCACCUCCUGUCAUGAAGAAACCAACAAAAAUACUGAUCAGAGAUGAAGCCGGGCAUCCAUCAGAGACACAAGAAAGGAAACUGAACUUCACUGCUGCAAAAGAAGUUUACUUGUCUGUUGAGGACCAUACAACGCCCUCCCAAAAUGCUGCAACAGUUGAUAAGAGCAACAUGGAAAAGAGUGAAGUUCAGCCUAUGCAGACGCUUACAGUAGAGCUCCCCAGAAUGAGUAAACUCUCCCCACCACCUACGCCUCCUCCAGCUUACCAGCCGACGCCUCCUCCGACAAGGAAACCUGCUGCUUCAUUACCGUCUCCAACGCCAAAUGAGUCUGAGAAGGAACAUGACACGUCGCAUGUUGUAGAUUCCUGUUGGCCCCCUCCGCCUCCUCCAUUAGAGGGGGAACCUGCCUUUGAUGGAGGAGACGAGGUAGAUUUCCCUCCACCUCCUCCGCCGUCCGUAAGAGACGACGUAACAGAGGUGAUGGAGCUAACCCCAUUCGCUUCAGUUUCACCUUCAGCUGACAACAAGUCCUCUGACGCUGAACAGAUUUCGAAAGCCGACACCGCUCUUGAGACUUCUUCCCAAGACGCUUCAUGCGCUACCGACAUAGUUCCACCCUCGCCUCCUUCACCACCUACUGCCAGAGUAGAAAGCCCAAUGCCGGUCCGAGAAGCGUCUCCUUCCAGCAGGUAUCUUAAGCGAAACUCUCUAAAACUUGAAGAUGAGUCUCCCUCUACUCUUCCAGUAAGUCCUGAGCUUUCAGCUCCAACUUCAGUGCCAAAAGCACCUCCUCCACCAAUGGACAAUGUAACCCCUGGAGUUAAUUUCAGAAGGCAACCCAGUGGCACAUACAGAGACGCCAGGAACAAGGAGCUGCUUUCUCGCCACAAAAGUGCACCGAUUCCUAAAGAGGACGCAAACAUACCACUCGUAACCCCCUCGCUGCUGCAGAUGGUUCGUCUCAGAACGGUCAGCAUGACUGAAGAUCAGGCGCAACCUCCGUCUGAAGAGUCAGCACAUGAGGCAACUCCAGCUCGGGAGAAUUGUUCCGUCUCAAGCCAAGGAGCUCAAGACAUUCCUCCAAAGCCCAUUCGGAAGUCUUUGGCAGUAAAAUCUCCUCCGCAAACAGUAAAAUCAUCCACUGUGACAAUGGGUUCUCCUUCCCUGCGUCUGCAGGAGGCCAUCCGGAUUAAAACUGCAGCCAUGUCUUCCAGAGACUGUCUUCCCCACAGACUGGGUGUGAAGUCCCCUACUUACAGCUCCAUUGGUGAACAGGGGGGGCGCUCUCUAAAACCACUUGAAGGAUGCGAUAUUCUUAAAUCCCCAGCAUCUACAGCGAGCUUUAUCUUCUCUAGAAGCACAAAAAAGGUGGUCAUCGAGCCUGCAGCCGCCUCCUCCUCAGACGCUCAGGCGAGUCUGAAGCAAAGCUUAGCAACAGAGCUCAGGCAGGUCUCUGACCAAUCAAAGGCUGGUGUUCUGUCAAACGGCAGAGUCAAGACUGACAGAAUUCCUCCGCCGAUAGCCAAGAAGCCAACAUCUGGAAGUACAAGUCCCUUGCUGAGCUCCCAUAGCUGUUCAGCAAAGAUGGAGCUCAGGGUUGAGGGAAGCAAAGAUCCUGGAACUGCGCAAACUGUGGCGCCGCCUACAACAAUGGAGUGUUUCCAACAUGAAAAGUGGAGGGCUGAAGUGAAUUUUAGAAGCUUACUCCUCUGAUUCAUCUCAGGAGUUUGUCAAAGAGCCAUAACCGCCAUGAGCUGUCUGGUGUACAUCACAACUGAGCUACGAGAGUGACGGCGGACACGAUCGAAACGUUGUUCUGAAGGAGUGAUCUGUGACCAGACUCGCAGGAGGAACGGAACGAGACGGCGAGCAAGUGAAAGGAUGACUCGCAACAUUUAUUGACAAUAAACUCAGUCUUGUUGUGUUUUGUGCUAAAGCCUUAGCCUGUAAUGGCCUUCCUACAUAUUUAUGCAAAAACAAAAGAAAAGAUCGUGUUAAAACCCUCGACUUCUAAAGAAAGCUUUAUUCUAAAGUAUUUUUCUACAUAAUCUAAUCUAGGGAGCCCUCAGGGUGGAGCGAUGCACAUAACAUGAAGUGUCUCAGUUUGGUUUGAGUAAGAUCGCCUCCCAGAGGUUGAACGGGGUAGUGCAUCCUCAGAAGAAAAGUUGGAGAAAGGGGUUCAUUGUAUAUUUUAACCCCAUGCUGCAGUAUCAAGCAAUGCGUGGUAACGAUUCUCACUGGGACUGACAAGAGUCUCCAGCCAAGGACAGGACCAAACAUGGUCUCCUUGGUUACGCUUGUACAGAAAUGACUCUACUUAGUUCUAGUCCUGCUUUUCACUGUGUGUAAAAGUAUUAAAGAAAAAAAAGGGAAGAUGAUUCGUCCCGCGGGACGUUUUUGUUGGUCGGACAUAAAUGACUUUUGAAAAGCUGCAGAGGAUGAUGUGUCAACACGCAACAAAAAUAGCUAAACACAGUAUCUGUCGCUGGAGUGUUUCCUCUGCAGCGCACAGUGCAGGUCAUUGAAGAAACGCCGACAUCAAAGACGACCCGGCUAAAUACGAAAUGGAGUUUUCAGAAAGGGAAUCUUGGAAUAAAGGAGAAGCGAUCCUCGCCAACUUGGCCCUGUGUGAAAAAGUAAUUGGGCCCUUGAACCAAAUCAGUAGUUUUGAGGCCCUCAGCAGCAACAAAUGCGAGCCAGUGUUUGUGAUGACUCAGAGUGGAGAAGUUUUGGCCUACUUUUUAAAAAAUGGCUCUAAUCCACCCGUAUUAGAUGCUUUCUUAUGAUUCGCCUGUUUAAGGUUAAAGGUCACGCCUCAGCUUCUCAAUUGGAGUCAAAUCUUGGUCUUGCCACACCAGAGACUUUCCUUUGGUUCCACAGAUUCAGUAGAGGACAAUCCUGUUUGUGUUGGAUCCUUGUCCUCUAUAUAUUCUCCAUCAGAAUUUUCUAGAGCAAAUUUGCAGUUCCAUCAAUUACGGAACUACAAUUCUGUAAUUGGAGGUAAGGGAGGCUGUAGUCUGUAGGUUUUUCCAGUCAGCAUUGGGUUUUGGUCUUCAACUGUCCCAUCAAUGCAUUUUUAUGCCCGGUCAAUCAUUUCUGACUCUUGGAACAGUGGGCGUCACUGAAGCAAGUGAGGCCUGCAGGGAUUCAGAUGUUCUGAGUUUCAUUUUGACUUGUCAAAAUAAUGGACAAGUCUCUGGUUCACUGAAAUACCCAAAUUCUUAAGAGAUCUCUGUCGCCCUCUUUCUGAUUGAUGCCAGUAAAUGUAUUUCCACUGAGGCAUAAUUUCUUGCUUUUUAAGAUCUUUUAGCAUUUAAUUUUUUUUUCUUCGAUGUAUUCCUGAUUAGCUUAAACAUGUUAGCAUGACAAACAAAAAUCUAAAACAAAAGAAUUUGGUAAAGAUGAAAAUUUUCUUUUCUUUUUUUUUAGUUCUGCGCAAAGCAGCAAAACUAAUCUUUUUUUUCCGCUAGUAGCACUGGAAGUUGCCUUUUGCUACCAAAUAUUAAAUGAAAACCACUUCUGAAGUAACAACUCUGGUGACGUGAUACACUGGAGCUGGAUCAGUAUUUUUUAUGAAAAGAUUUUGUUCCUAAAACUUUGACUUAAGCUUUUAGAAUGGAGAAUUAAGCUCAUCACUGUUUGCACAAAAACCCCUUCCCCAGUGGAAUCACAUGAAGUCAAUUCUUGACUCUUUGUAAAGGGUGUUUAAAAAGAAAAAAAUCUCCUUUUUGGCGAUUAUAAAGAAUCAUGUACAGUUAUUACUUCUAUCAAUAAAUUCUACUUGUGUCAAA